rnacentral:rRNA from 1 species
GAUGAACGCUGGCGGCGUGCCUAAUACAUGCAAGUCGAGCGAACAGACGAGGGGCUUGCUCCUCUGACGUUAGCGGCGGACGGGUGAGUAACACGUGGAUAACCUACCUAUAAGACUGGGAUAACUUCGGGAAACCGGCGCUAAUACCGGAUAAUAUAUUGAACUUCAUGGUUCAAUAGUGAAAGACGGUUUUGGUGUCACUUAUAGAUGGACCCGCGCCGCAUUAGCUAGUUGGUAAGGUAACGGCUUACCAAGGCAACGAUGCGUAGCCGACCCGAGAGCGAGGACCACUACCUGGUAAGAGAGACAGGUCCGCGACAUCGACAGUGGGAAGCAGUCGGGACUCCUACGGAAGGCAGCAAUGGGGGACGGAGCGACAUCGGGGGAGGGCUGACGGUCUUAGGAUCGGAGAACGCUGUUAUUAGGAGGGAAGAAAUGUGCUAUUACCGAUGAACAUAAUGACGGUACCUGAACAGAAAGCCACGGCUAACUACGUG